GUAUUUGCUUUGGCAACACAUAUAUUAAAAUUGGGACAAUACAGAGAUUUGCAUGGCCCCUGUGCAAGUAUGACAUGCAAAUUUGUGAAGUGUUCCAUAUUAAA
ensembl:snRNA U6 U6 spliceosomal RNA